rnacentral:rRNA from 1 species
GCAAACAGGAUUAGAUACCCUGGUAGUCCACGCUGUAAACGAUGUCGAUUUAGAGGUUGUGGUCUUGAACCGUGGCUUCUGGAGCUAACGCGUUAAAUCGACCGCCUGGGGAGUACGGCCGCAAGGUUAAAACUCAAAUGAAUUGACGGGGGCCCGCACAAGCGGUGGAGCAUGUGGUUUAAUUCGAUGCAACGCGAAGAACCUUACCUACUCUUGACAUCCAGCGAAUCCUUUAGAGAUAGAGGAGUGCCUUCGGGAACGCUGAGACAGGUGCUGCAUGGCUGUCGUCAGCUCGUGUUGUGAAAUGUUGGGUUAAGUCCCGCAACGAGCGCAACCCUUAUCCUUUGUUGCCAGCACGUAAUGGUGGGAACUCAAAGGAGACUGCCGGUGAUAAACCGGAGGAAGGUGGGGAUGACGUCAAGUCAUCAUGGCCCUUACGAGUAGGGCUACACACGUGCUACAAUGGCAGAUACAAAGAGAAGCGACCUCGCGAGAGCAAGCGGAACUCAUAAAGUCUGUCGUAGUCCGGAUUGGAGUCUGCAACUCGACUCCAUGAAGUCGGAAUCGCUAGUAAUCGUAGAUCAGAAUGCUACGGUGAAUACGUUCCCGGGCCUUGUACACACCGCCCGUCACACCAUGGGAGUGGGUUGCAAAAGAAGUAGGUAGCUUAAC